GGCACAGAAGAUAUGGCUUCGUGCC
rnacentral:misc_RNA from 1 species